rnacentral:lncRNA from 1 species
GGCUAUGUGUUCGAGGACCUGAACACUGCAAAUAUCUACACUCCUCAGUCUACUGGCAAAGCAGCGUUCCUGGAAGAGGAUUACUACGGUUCCAACGUUCUGGCGGGACUCAACGGAGACGACUUCCACCACGACAUGAAGGACUGCAGACCGAAAACCCAAGUGUCUAAAUAUCCGCUCGUGAAGCGCCGAAGCUCCAAGGUAACGAGACGUCCCAUGUUGAUGAUGUCAUCGCUCAUCUACAUCAUGACCUAAUAUGGCAAUACCCGCACGCUCCCGCAGUAGCUUUUAAAAGUGGGCAUCACAUCGGCGCCUCUCUAAACACAUCAUAAACAUUAAUUUCUUGUAUUUCCGUUUGUUGCUUUUAGGAGGACAUGCUGGAGGAGUGCAGCCCUUAUCGCCCAGAAGGGUUCUCUGAGAAGUGGGAGGAUGGAGAGGAGGAGGAACUGGAUUACGCCAAACAGAAAAAUCCCAAACACAAAAGUCAUAAACAGAAGCCGUCCCAGAAGAAGAUGUUCCCCAACGGAUCCCCCAUGGUACCUCAGUCCAGUCCCACAGCUUGGAUUAAAGCUUGAAGUAGAUGAUAUUUCUGUAUAUUAGGACGGAUCAUUCAGGUGGAUGUGAGACGUUUGGGUGUUGUGUUCCUUGGUAGGGCUCCUUCCUGGAGGACGAAGACUACCAACAGGGUGAAGGGGGUCCCCCCAGCCCUUGGGGGCCGUACGAGGAGGAGGAGGAGAACGAGAUGGACCUCUCAAAACCCGUACUGAAUUUCUUCGUAACGCCAAAUAUAACGAAUAUUUCCGUUUUGGUUUAUAUUGCUGUUAUGUUUUUUUUACCUUUUUUUUUUUUUUUCUCUCCACUUUCUUUAGCAUAAGAGGUUGCCCAAACCAAAAGGGAUUAAGAAGCACAAAGCAAAGGUAAGUCAAAGUGCCUAAAGUCAGAAGUAAUUCAAGUAAAGUGCAGGCAAAGCGCUUGACGGUUGCCACGGGUAGUUCUUUAGUAUUUCCAAUGUGUCACUUGGUUUUUAAUUCUCUUCUCACCUUUCUAUUU